CCUGUCUCUAUCAGCAUAACAGUUUUUGCUGUUGUGUCACUUGUGAGUCAAUAGGUGGCAGAGAGAGGAGAGGCUAAGUUCAAUAUUCUGACCUAUGAACAACUGAAUGAUUAGUAGCUUAACAUU